rnacentral:tRNA from 1 species
GGAGAGGUGUCCGAGUGGCUGAAGGAGACGGUUUCGAAAACCGUUGUGCCCUUAAGUGGGUACCGGGGGUUCGAAUCCCCCCCUCUCCG